CCAAAUUUAAUUCUCAACACUGGCAACCAGAGUUCCACACCAAUGGUUUCUUCAGCUGGUUCAUCUAAUGUUAUCAUUCCUAUGCAAAAUCUGAGACAAAACUUACAAAUUGGAAGGGAGCUGAGUAGAGAAGAACCAAAUGAAACAGCAAGGAAUUUCAUACUCAUAGAGGGACAAGUAGAACGACUAUGGGAUAAUCAACGAUUUGAAAUUGGAGAAGGUUCAUCCUCUAAGCGCCAAAGG